rnacentral:lncRNA from 1 species
GACAACAACUAUGCCUCAAUCCCAAACCAAGUUGAGAUAAGCUAUAUUUAUAUCCUCAAUAUCCUCGCUCUCCUACCCAUUUCAUUUCAAUACUCUAUAGUUUGUUAAUUUAAGAGGUAUCUCGAUUUAUCAAUAUUCAAGAAUCCGCUUCAUAAGUGCACAAUACAGUUUGCAAAUGCUAACUGCUGUUAGCAGCUUCUAUUUGUAUAAAAAUACUCAAAGAAAUUCACCUCGAAACGAAGUGCCAUUAAUGCCUCUAUAUUCCACCAGGGUCAAUAGCUCAUAACUGAAACCACAAAAAGAAACUUCGUUUAGGCUAAAAAAAGUAAAACUUCAACUAUAUAUAAAACACGAACUUUAAUUCCACAACCUAAAAUUUUAUUAAAGCACAACCGCAUUGUAGCUCAGGACUAACAUAAAUAAACCAGUCAUCAUAUAAAAACGUACAUAUUCUGCUAGAUAAUGAAAGAUUCUACUAUAAGUUUAUGGCUGUCUAAUACAUGAAAUUGCUUUUAGUUAUACAAAUAAUAAUGCAUGGAAGGUGAAUACUUAGACAGGCUUACCGGUAACGGCGGAUAUAGCGGCGGCGGCGGCGGCGGCUG